AAGUAACAGCUCUUUUAGAAUUUGUCUAGCAGGUUUUCUGGUUUUUACUGAAAAAUCUUU
ensembl:snRNA U7 U7 small nuclear RNA